AGAGUUUGAUCCUGGCUCAGAACGAACGCUGGCGGCAGGCUUAACACAUGCAAGUCGGAGGUGAUGCAGGGCUUCGGCCCUGCGGAAACUGGCGCACGGGUGAGUAACGCGUGGGAAUCUACCCUGGGGUGGGGAAUAACCGCUGGAAACGGCGGCUAAUACCGCAUACGCCUUGAGAGGGAAAGCUUUAUGCGCCCUGGGAUGAGCCCGCGUCGGAUUAGCUUGUUGGUGAGGUAACGGCUCACCAAGGCUUCGAUCCGUAGCUGGUCUGAGAGGAUGAUCAGCCACACUGGGACUGAGACACGGCCCAGACUCCUACGGGAGGCAGCAGUGGGGAAUAUUGGACAAUGGGGGAAACCCUGAUCCAGCCAUGCCGCGUGCGUGAAGAAGGCCUUAGGGUUGUAAAGCGCUUUCGGCGGGGAAGAUGAUGACGGUACCCGCAGAAGAAGCCCCGGCUAACU
rnacentral:rRNA from 1 species